GAAACUCGUAAAGGACAUCGUAAACUAUAAGUGUUGAGCGUAGUAAAGCUCUGACUCAAGGUUUAAGCUUAAAGAUGCUUCUAUAGCACUUCUAUAACACUAGCGUUGGACUUCAGGUGAGAAACUAUGACUCCUUAUCCGAUUUCUUUCCUGUAUCUCCUUUGUUUGAACCAAAUAUAUUCUCCAUCUUGAAUCCUUGAUGCAUUGAUUAUAUUUUUCUUGGAAUAUGUUCCUUAAUGUUUUGCGAGCAUAUUGUUUUCUUGGCUCGAACUUGGAACCUUGAUCCUGUUUCCUGAAAUCUUGAACUUGUCAUUUCUCUUGGUUUCUAUGUUCACGGCUAAUUCUUAUACUUGAUUCCUUGGCCUUAACAUUUUUCUUGAACUUGAUAUUGGACUAUAUUUAUUCUCAAAAUCUUGUCUUGAAUGCUUUCCGAGAAUAAAUAUUUCGUUGGCUCGAACUUGAAUCUCAUGUUUAUUGAAUUCAUUGAGAUAUUGAUAUACUCGUUCUUGGAAUCCGAUAUUGAACUUAUGGUUCUUCUUGACUCUCAUAUUCACGAAUAUUAUCUCCUUGGCUUGAACUGAAUUCUCGAACAUGUUCAUUAUCCUGAGACUUGAUGUUCGAUUAUCGUGAUCAUGACUUAUCUUGUGAAUGAAUGACUUGAUAUUCCUAAAAGGAAUAAUAUUGAUUCUUGAACCUACUGUCCCCACCCUCGAGGACGCUCUUGGGGGAGCUGGGCCCUAGGACCAUUUCGGCAAGACGAUCGGGCAGUAUUGGGCUGACGAUGACUGGUCUCCCGAAUAGUACCUCCUGAUGGUUCGGACUCACGUUCGUUUGGAGUUAAACGUUCCUGAGCCGGAUCGGCACGUUCCGGUCGUGCCUCUUGCUUGUUUCCGACCGAGUGGCCACUCGGGACGGAGUGGAGGGACAAGGAUGUGAUAUGAUUUUAUUUGUAGGGAGUUACAAGGUUGGAGACCCCACCAAAUAUUGAACUCAAGCCGUACAUGUUACACUCUUGUACAUGUUACACUUCUGUUAAUGAAAUUCUUGUAAAGUCUCUCGUUAUAUGUUCUGUUCUGUUGAUUCUCAUCAUACUCAUGGAUCAUAUGUUUUUCACUAAGUCAUUCGGACUUAUUCGUUUCUCCUUUCUGAUAUUAAUGCGCAGGUAAAAGAAAGACUUAGACCUAAAUUUUCAUACUAAGAGUUAAAGCUCGUGUAUGCCUCCGAUUAGUCUCGUCGAGAGGCAUCUCUAUUUAUGUUCCGUAUAGGAAUCCUUUGAUCGAGAAUUUUGUAAUAGAGUAAGUGGUGUCGAAGUCACUUGUAAUAUAAUCCCUUUUUGUAAACACGAUGGUAUAGAUAUUGGGUUUAAUAUUUUGAUCAUCGCAAUUUUGAGGAGCAUAUUUGGGGUCAUUGAAUGU
rnacentral:lncRNA from 1 species